rnacentral:rRNA from 1 species
CCUACGGGGGGCAGCAGUGAGGAAUAUUGGUCAAUGGACGAGAGUCUGAACCAGCCAAGUCGCGUGAAGGAUGACUGCCCUAUGGGUUGUAAACUUCUUUUAUAUGGGAGUAAAAUGUUCCACGUGUGGGAGUUUGUAUGUACCAUAUGAAUAAGGAUCGGCUAACUCCGUGCCAGCAGCCGCGGUAAUACGGAGGAUUCGAGCGUUAUCCGGAUUUAUUGGGUUUAAAGGGAGCGUAGGUGGAUGGUUAAGUCAGUUGUGAAAGUUUGGGGCUCAACUGUAAAAUUGCAGUUGAAACUGGUAGUCUAGAGUACAGUAGAGGUAGGCGGAAUGUGUGGUGUAGCGGGGAAAUGCUUAGAGAUCACAAAGAACUCCGAUUGCGAAGGCAGCUUACUGGACUGCAACUGACGCUGAGGCUCGAAAGUGUGGGUAUCAAACAGGAUUAGAUACCCCAGUAGUC